rnacentral:rRNA from 1 species
CAGGAUCUAAGGUGUUGUAACGGCCUGGUAGGCGGAGAGGCAAGCUAGAAGUGACAUCCCAGCUUCAACCCGCGAACUGCUUUCGCAACUGUAUCCCCUUGAGUAUCGGAGAGCCACGCGGAAUUCCCUAGUGCAGCCGUUGAAAAGGGUAGAUUUUUUGGAGGAACAUUAUUGGCGAAGGUGUGCUUGCUCGGACGACAAACGACGCUGAGGCGCGAAGGGUUGCGGAGCACAAACGAGUAGAUACCCUGGUAGUUCACGCCGUAUACGAUGAAUAUUAGGUGUGGGAGGAGUGACCCCCUCCGUGCCGCAGUUAACACAAUAAGUAUUUCACCCUGGGGAGUAGGGCCGCACGGCUGAAACUCAAAGGAAUUGACGGCGGCCCGCACAACCACUGGAUUAUGUGGUUUAAUUAGACGCAACGCGAAGAACCUUACCAGGACUUGACAUCCAACUAACGAAGUAGAGAUACAUUAGGUGCCCUUCGGGGAAAGUUGAGACAGGUGGUGCAUGGUUGUCGUCAGCUCGUGUCGUGAGAUGUUGGGUUAAGUCCCGCAACGAGCGCAACCCCUAUUGUUAGUUGCUACGCAAGAGCACUCUAGCGAGACUGCCGUUGACAAAACGGAGGAAGGCGGGGACGACGUCAAAUCAUCAUGCCCCUUAUGUCCUGGGCUACACACGUAAUACAAUGGCCGUCAACAAUGGGAAGCAAAACCGCGAGGUAGAGCAAAUCCCCAAAAACGGUCUCAGUUCGGAUUGCAGGCUGCAACUCGCCUGCAUGAAGCUGGAAUUGCUAGUAAUCGUGGAUCAGC